rnacentral:rRNA from 1 species
UACAGAGGGGGCAAGCGUUAUUCGGAAUUAUUGGGCGUAAAGGGCGCGUAGGCGGUCGGAUAAGUCUUGUGUGAAAUCUUCGGGCUCAACUCGAAGUCUGCACAGGAAACUAUCUGGCUUGAGUGUGGGAGAGGUGAGUGGAAUUCCUGGUGUAGCGGUGAAAUGCGUAGAUAUCAGGAGGAACACCUGUGGCGAAAGCGGCUCACUGGACCACAACUGACGCUGAGGCGCGAAAGCUAGGGGAGCAAACAGG